GCCCGGCUGGCUUAGGGGGUAGAAUGUGUGAUUCUUGAUCUCAGAGUUGUGGGGUCGAGCCCCACGCUGGGCA
rnacentral:tRNA from 1 species